rnacentral:rRNA from 1 species
UAAGUUAUUAAGGGCGCACGGUGGAUGCCUUGGCACUAGAAGCCGAUGAAGGACGUUACUAACGACGAUAUGCUUUGGGGAGCUGUAAGUAAGCUUUGAUCCAGAGAUUUCCGAAUGGGGAAACCCAGCAUGAGUUAUGUCAUGUUAUCGAUAUGUGAAUACAUAGCAUAUCAGAAGGCACACCCGGAGAACUGAAACAUCUUAGUACCCGGAGGAAGAGAAAGAAAAUUCGAUUCCCUUAGUAGCGGCGAGCGAAACGGGAAGAGCCCAAACCAACAAGCUUGCUUGUUGGGGUUGUAGGACACUCUAUACGGAGUUACAAAGGACGACAUUAGACGAAUCAUCUGGAAAGAUGAAUCAAAGAAGGUAAUAAUCCUGUAGUCGAAAAUGUUGUCUCUCUUGAGUGGAUCCUGAGUACGACGGAGCACGUGAAAUUCCGUCGGAAUCUGGGAGGACCAUCUCCUAAGGCUAAAUACUCUCUAGUGACCGAUAGUGAACCAGUACCGUGAGGGAAAGGUGAAAAGCACCCCGGAAGGGGAGUGAAAUAGAACCUGAAACCGUGUGCUUACAAGUAGUCAGAGCCCGUUAAUGGGUGAUGGCGUGCCUUUUUGUAGAAUGAACCGGCGAGUUACGAUUUGAUGCAAGGUUAAGCAGUAAAUGUGGAGCCGUAGCGAAAGCGAGUCUGAAUAGGGCGUUUAGUAUUUGGUCGUAGACCCGAAACCAGGUGAUCUAACCUUGGUCAGGUUGAAGUUCAGGUAACACUGAAUGGAGGACCGAACCGACUUACGUUGAAAAGUGAGCGGAUGAACUGAGGGUAGCGGAGAAAUUCCAAUCGAACCUGGAGAUAGCUGGUUCUCUCCGAAAUAGCUUUAGGGCUAGCCUCAAGUGAUGAUUAUUGGAGGUAGAGCACUGUUUGGACGAGGGGCCCCUCUCGGGUUACCGAAUUCAGACAAACUCCGAAUGCCAAUUAAUUUAACUUGGGAGUCAGAACAUGGGUGAUAAGGUCCGUGUUCGAAAGGGAAACAGCCCAGACCACCAGCUAAGGUCCCAAAAUAUAUGUUAAGUGGAAAAGGAUGUGGCGUUGCCCAGACAACUAGGAUGUUGGCUUAGAAGCAGCCAUCAUUUAAAGAGUGCGUAAUAGCUCACUAGUCGAGUGACACUGCGCCGAAAAUGUACCGGGGCUAAACAUAUUACCGAAGCUGUGGAUUGUCCUUUGGACAAUGGUAGGAGAGCGUUCUAAGGGCGUUGAAGCAUGAUCGUAAGGACAUGUGGAGCGCUUAGAAGUGAGAAUGCCGGUGUGAGUAGCGAAAGACGGGUGAGAAUCCCGUCCACCGAUUGACUAAGGUUUCCAGAGGAAGGCUCGUCCGCUCUGGGUUAGUCGGGUCCUAAGCUGAGGCCGACAGGCGUAGGCGAUGGAUAACAGGUUGAUAUUCCUGUACCACCUAUAAUCGUUUUAAUCGAUGGGGGGACGCAGUAGGAUAGGCGAAGCGUGCGAUUGGAUUGCACGUCUAAGCAGUAAGGCUGAGUAUUAGGCAAAUCCGGUACUCGUUAAGGCUGAGCUGUGAUGGGGAGAAGACAUUGUGUCUUCGAGUCGUUGAUUUCACACUGCCGAGAAAAGCCUCUAGAUAGAAAAUAGGUGCCCGUACCGCAAACCGACACAGGUAGUCAAGAUGAGAAUUCUAAGGUGAGCGAGCGAACUCUCGUUAAGGAACUCGGCAAAAUGACCCCGUAACUUCGGGAGAAGGGGUGCUCUUUAGGGUUAACGCCCAGAAGAGCCGCAGUGAAUAGGCCCAAGCGACUGUUUAUCAAAAACACAGGUCUCUGCUAAACCGUAAGGUGAUGUAUAGGGGCUGACGCCUGCCCGGUGCUGGAAGGUUAAGAGGAGUGGUUAGCUUCUGCGAAGCUACGAAUCGAAGCCCCAGUAAACGGCGGCCGUAACUAUAACGGUCCUAAGGUAGCGAAAUUCCUUGUCGGGUAAGUUCCGACCCGCACGAAAGGCGUAACGAUUUGGGCACUGUCUCAACGAGAGACUCGGUGAAAUCAUAGUACCUGUGAAGAUGCAGGUUACCCGCGACAGGACGGAAAGACCCCGUGGAGCUUUACUGUAGCCUGAUAUUGAAAUUCGGCACAGCUUGUACAGGAUAGGUAGGAGCCUUUGAAACGUGAGCGCUAGCUUACGUGGAGGCGCUGGUGGGAUACUACCCUAGCUGUGUUGGCUUUCUAACCCGCACCACUUAUCGUGGUGGGAGACAGUGUCAGGCGGGCAGUUUGACUGGGGCGGUCGCCUCCUAAAAGGUAACGGAGGCGCUCAAAGGUUCCCUCAGAAUGGUUGGAAAUCAUUCAUAGAGUGUAAAGGCAUAAGGGAGCUUGACUGCGAGACCUACAAGUCGAGCAGGGUCGAAAGACGGACUUAGUGAUCCGGUGGUUCCGCAUGGAAGGGCCAUCGCUCAACGGAUAAAAGCUACCCCGGGGAUAACAGGCUUAUCUCCCCCAAGAGUUCACAUCGACGGGGAGGUUUGGCACCUCGAUGUCGGCUCAUCGCAUCCUGGGGCUGUAGUCGGUCCCAAGGGUUGGGCUGUUCGCCCAUUAAAGCGGUACGCGAGCUGGGUUCAGAACGUCGUGAGACAGUUCGGUCCCUAUCCGUCGUGGGCGUAGGAAAUUUGAGAGGAGCUGUCCUUAGUACGAGAGGACCGGGAUGGACAUACCUCUGGUGUACCAGUUGUCGUGCCAACGGCAUAGCUGGGUAGCUAUGUGUGGACGGGAUAAGUGCUGAAAGCAUCUAAGCAUGAAGCCCCCCUCAAGAUGAGAUUUCCCAACUUCGGUUAUAAGAUCCCUCAAAGAUGAUGAGGUUAAUAGGUUCGAGGUGGAAGCAUGGUGACAUGUGGAGCUGACGAAUACUAAUCGAUCGAAGACUUAAUCA